GAUGAACGCUGGCGGCGUGCCUAAUACAUGCAAGUCGAGCGAACAGAUGAGGAGCUUGCUCGUCUGACGUUAGCGGCGGACGGGUGAGUAACACGUGGAUAACCUACCUAUAAGACUGGGAUAACUUCGGGAAACCGGAGCUAAUACCGGAUAAUAUAUUGAACCGCAUGGUUCAAUAGUGAAAGACGGUUUUGCUGUCACUUAUAGAUGGAUCCGCGCCGCAUUAGCUAGUUGGUAAGGUAACGGCUUACCAAGGCAACGAUGCGUAGCCGACCUGAGAGGGUGAUCGGCCACACUGGAACUGAGACACGGUCCAGACUCCUACGGGAGGCAGCAGUAGGGAAUCUUCCGCAAUGGGCGAAAGCCUGACGGAGCAACGCCGCGUGAGUGAUGAAGGUCUUCGGAUCGUAAAACUCUGUUAUUAGGGAAGAACAAAUGUGUAAGUAACUAUGCACGUCUUGACGGUACCUAAUCAGAAAGCCACGGCUAACUACGUG
rnacentral:rRNA from 1 species